CAUGCAAGUCAACUUGAAUUUGGGUUUUUAACUUAGAUUUGGGUGGCGGACGGGUGAGUAACGCGUAAAGAACUUGCCUCACAGCUAGGGACAACAUUUAGAAAUGAAUGCUAAUACCUGAUAUUAUGAUUUUAAGGCAUCUUAGAAUUAUGAAAGCUAUAUGCGCUGUGAGAGAGCUUUGCGUCCCAUUAGCUAGUUGGAGAGGUAACAGCUCACCAAGGCGAUGAUGGGUAGCCGGCCUGAGAGGGUGAACGGCCACAAGGGGACUGAGACACGGCCCUUACUCCUACGGGAGGCAGCAGUGGGGAAUAUUGGACAAUGGACCGAGAGUCUGAUCCAGCAAUUCUGUGUGCACGAUGAAGUUUUUCGGAAUGUAAAGUGCUUUCAGUUGGGAAGAAAAAAUGACGGUACCAACAGAAGAAGUGACGGCUAAAUACGUGCCAGCAGCCGCGGUAAUACGUAUGUCACGAGCGUUAUCCGGAUUUAUUGGGCGUAAAGCGCGUCUAGGUGGUUAUGUAAGUCUGAUGUGAAAAUGCAGGGCUCAACUCUGUAUUGCGUUGGAAACUGUAUAACUAGAGUACUGGAGAGGUAAGCGGAACUACAAGUGUAGAGGUGAAAUUCGUAGAUAUUUGUAGGAAUGCCGAUGGGGAAGCCAGCUUACUGGACAGAUACUGACGCUAAAGCGCGAAAGCGUGGGUAGCAAACAGGAUUAGAUACCCUGGUAGUCCACGCUGUAAACGAUGAUUACUAGGUGUUGGGGGUCGAACCUCAGCGCCCAAGCAAACGCGAUAAGUAAUCCGCCUGGGGGGUACGUACGCAAGUAUGAAACUCAAAGGAAUUGACGGGG
rnacentral:rRNA from 1 species